rnacentral:lncRNA from 1 species
UUCUUUAUCUCUUCAAUUAAUAAAGAGCUAUUCUUUGUAUGGCCGUGGAGUAAGCAAAAAUUAUCGAACCACGUAAAUCUUGCUUUGUCUUAUCUUGUACAGUUUAUUGCUUUUCUCUCUUAAAUAUUCUUUUCCUUCUAUUAGUUUGACACGCUUCCUAACCGAAACAAUGGUGCAUUCUUGUCUUGUGGAACAGGAAGAUCGUGAUUAAAUUCAAUAAGAGAGCAGAAUAAAAUUAAAUUCAAUAGAACAUCUAAAGUGCUCAAAAUCCCAAGGUAUCCAUACAGUUUGACAAUAAGUUAACUACUUUGGCUGCGAACUUUCAAGGAAUUUCAUACAAAUUAUUUUAACAGAACAACUAUUUACAUUUUCAGACAAAUCUAUCCUUUCGCAUCCUGAUAGUUUUAAUGCUGAAUGGUCCAUCAAACAGCGUCUAAGAACCCUUCUCUUGAGGAGCACAAAGUUUAAGAUAUUUAUGGCUUCAGUUCUCUCAAUUCAUUUUCUACUCAUGUAUGAGUAGAAAAUGGGUUCUUUACAUGACAAUUUUCCAACUCUAGUACUCCAUCCAUUCCGGAAUGAAUGACAGGGUUCAUAGUACAUUGGACAAUGCAUCUAAUUAUAUUCUGCAAUUCUGGUGCUAUCAAAUACGAAAAGCUAAAAAAAUAAAAAAAACGCUUAGAUUUCUUGGGGCUUAAAGAACAAAUAGACGGUCCAUGGACGAUGAGGCACAUGCCUUACUGCCUUCGUGCCUGUACAAAAGCACCGCAUAGGAAAAGCAGAACACUGAUCCAGUUUUACACCGCUUGAGUGUUAAAGUGCGGCUUAACCGAGCCUUUGACAACACCGGUGAAUUUUACAUUGAUUUUUUAUUUUCUCAAAUGAAAUUACAUAGUUAAGAGUUAAAAGUAAUGUAAAUCAAAAUUCUGUAGCUAAAAAUAUCUAAAAUCUGAUUGAGAAAAUUGUUUAUCUUUACAAAUUGUUAAACAUGUCUCCUAGAUUACUUCAAUAAAACGGCAGGUCUCUCUUGGACAUUGUUCAAUAGGUGACUCAAAGUUGAGGGAUGAUUACAAAGAUCUAAUCUGGAUUAAAUUGUAGAAAACAAACUGAAAUCCACAGAUAGCAAUAUGUGUAGGUCAUUAGGGAUGAUAGUUAAGAGGAACUGGACACAUGGGUGCAAGAGGCACGCCCGCGGGGAGGGGUGUCGGUGACGUGGUAUAAUAGGGUAUUUGUGAAUCAGAAAGAGCUGGUAAGGGGCUCUUAAGCUUCCAUUCCCUCACUAUCACCAAUUUAAUGGCAGAAAACAGGACGUCAUUCAAGCUUAUUUCUGUUUGCAAGGAUGUCAAUAUUCUAUCAACCCAAACUAAGAAGUGCUGCAAAGAAUUGGGACCUUGAAUCUGUUCUCUUCCUUUUAAUCUAUGCGCAAAAAUGAUCUGACGUGGAACACUACUACUCAAUGAUCUGCUAAUUCUAUUUUUUGCAGCUCCAAAUAAUCACGGAAAUGAAGAUACUCUUUAGAAAAUUAUUUGGAGGAGGGUCCAAACUAGCAACUUUUUAUGCAUAGGAAGCAGCCUGGAAGUAUCACUCGACUAGAUAUCAAAUGAAAAAAAUGGGCACUUAGAAAUGCGAAUGGUUUUUAGUUUUUAGACUAGAUAGUUCAUCAUAUUGUGUUGCUUCAUGAACAGGUCUAUACUUGUGGUCCUUUAUCAUUGAAACUGGGGAUUUUCUGGAUGAUGACGUCUUCCAUCAAGGAAUUCUUUGUACCAUGGAGGCAAUAACAUGUAGCCAGGAAGAAACUUCCGGAUAUGAGGUGUCCACGCUCAUAGACGUGAAUAGAAAAAGCAAGCCUUAUGUAUUGGUAGAUUGUGACUGUUCUAUCUUUGUCUAAAAGGAUAACAUUCAUAUUAACUUUGAAAAUCAUGCAAGUAUUGCAGCAACUUUGUACAGGGAUUAGCACUCUGUUUGGUGCCUGAUUCACUGAAAUUUCGAACUUUACCACCUAUCAAAAGAAAAGAAAGACUAAAAUGGUAAAAGAGUUACCUUCCCAUCAUAUUCUUUCUUGAGUAAGACCUCAGGAGCAAUAUAUGCAGGUGUGCCGACAGUUGACUUUGGCUGCGAAUGCAACACUGAGGACUGCAAGCAACAACAGUCAAAAGGAUGCUCAACAAGAUAUGAAGGACACAUGAAGAAAGAACAAGGAAAAAGAAGUUCAAAUACUUCAAGGGUUUGAGAUACAACAAAAUCUCAUCCAUGUCAUGAAAAUUUGCGACAUCAACCAGAAAUUCAACUGAAAUUAGUGCACC